rnacentral:rRNA from 1 species
UACGGAGGGGGCUAGCGUUGUUCGGAAUUACUGGGCGUAAAGCGCGCGUAGGCGGACCUGCAAGUCGGGGGUGAAAGCCCGAGGCUCAACCUCGGAACUGCCUUCGAUACUGCGGGUCUCGAGUCCGGGAGAGGUGAGUGGAAUUCCUAGUGUAGAGGUGAAAUGCGCAGAUAUCAGGAAGAACACCCGUGGCGAAAGCGGCUCUCUGGAACGGUACUGACGCUGAGACGCGAAAGCGUGGGGAGCGAACAGG